UACAGAGGUCUCAAGCGUUGUUCGGAUUCAUUGGGCGUAAAGGGUGCGUAGGCGGCGCGGUAAGUCGGGUGUGAAAUCUUGGAGCUUUAACUCCGAAACUGCAUUCGAUACUGCCGUGCUUUGAGGACUGGAGAGGAGACUGGAAUUUACGGUGUAGCGGUGAAAUGCGUAGAUAUCGUAAGGAAGACCAGUGGCGAAGGCGGGGUCUCUGGACAUUCCUU
rnacentral:rRNA from 1 species